rnacentral:rRNA from 1 species
UACGGAGGAUGCAAGCGUUAUCCGGAUUUAUUGGGUUUAAAGGGUCCGUAGGCGGAUAUGUAAGUCAGCGGUGAAACUCACAGGCUCAACCUGUGCCGUGCCGUUGAAACUGUGUAUCUGGAAUGCGGAUGCUGUGGGAGGAAUGUGUAGUGUAGCGGUGAAAUGCAUAGAUAUUACACAGAACACCGAUUGCAAAGGCAUCUCACAAAGCCGUUAUUGACGCUGAGGCACGAAAGUGUGGGGAUCAAACA